UGCUCAGCAACUCCUAUCUUUACCUCCGCUAGGAACUGGCUGGGCAGCGAGCAACGUUAGUGAAGAUCGAGUAACCAACCAACCCUGGUGGGAACUUUGGUCGUAGGUUGACAGGGAAGG
rnacentral:ribozyme from 1 species